GAUGAAGAACGUAGCGAAAUGCGAUAAGUAAUGCGAAUUGCAGAAUCCGUGAGUCAUCGAAUCUUUGAACGCACAUUGCGCCCCUUGGUUAUUCCGAAGGGCAUGCCUGUUCGAGCGUCAUUUAAACCUUCAAGCUCAGCUUGGUGUUGGGUGACUGUCCGCUUCACCGCGGACUCGCCUCAAAAUUAUUGGCGGCCGGUACAUUGGCUUCGAGCGCAGCAGAAACGCGAACUCGGGCCCGUCGUAUUGGCUCCCAGAAGCUAUCUUCACAAUUUUGACCUCGGAUCAGGUAGGGAUACCCGCUGAACUUAAGCAUAUCAAUAAGCGGAGGA
rnacentral:misc_RNA from 1 species